CUUUUUCUGAUGAGUACUAACUUUCGCCCCUAUCUGAAAAUUGAAACUUCUCUUGUUGAAUGCGAGAUUGGUCUUACUGACAAAAUAAA
rfam:Drosophila ananassae strain TSC#14024-0371.13 Ctg01_18809, whole genome shotgun sequence.